rnacentral:misc_RNA from 1 species
UCUCCGUUGGUGAACCAGCGGAGGGAUCAUUACCGAGUGCAAACUCAUAACCCUUUGUGUACCUAUAUCUGUUGCUUCGGCGGCUCGCUCUCGGGCGAGCCCGCCGGUAAUAUCAGUAUCUCUGUUUGAACCCGACGAUACUUCUGAGUGUUCUUAGCGAACAGUUAAAACUUUUAACAACGGAUCUCUUGGCUCUA